CACGUAGGGCGCAAGCGUUGUCCGGAAUUAUUGGGCGUAAAGAGCUCGUAGGCGGUCUGUUGCGUCCGCUGUGAAAACCCGGGGCUUAACCCCUGGCUUGCAGUGGAUACGGACAGACUAGAGGUAGGUAGGGGAGAAUGGAAUUCCCGGUGUAGCGGUGAAAUGCGCAGAUAUCGGGAGGAACACCGGUGGCGAAGGCGGGACUCUGGGCCGAUACUGACGCUGAGGAGCGAAAGCGUGGGGAGCAAACAGG
rnacentral:rRNA from 1 species